UACGGAGGAUCCGAGCGUUAUCCGGAUUUAUUGGGUUUAAAGGGAGCGUAGGCGGACGCUUAAGUCAGUUGUGAAAGUUUGCGGCUCAACCGUAAAAUUGCAGUUGAUACUGGGUGUCUUGAGUACAGUAGAGGCAGGCGGAAUUCGUGGUGUAGCGGUGAAAUGCUUAGAUAUCACGAAGAACUCCGAUUGCGAAGGCAGCCUGCUGGACUGUAACUGACGCUGAUGCUCGAAAGUGUGGGUAUCAA
rnacentral:rRNA from 1 species